rnacentral:other from 1 species
AGCUCCCUGUGAUGUUUGCCAGCGGGUUAUGUCCCUGGCCGAUGCUAUCACCAAAGGGUACACUCCCCAGCGCUACUGUGCAUGCUCGGCAGGUACCGAGAAGCCUACGGCGAAGGCAGUGCACCCGCCCUGAACCUACGGUUCACGGGCUUACACCUGCAGCGACAUCUGCGGGGAGCAC